ACAACAAUGUUGAAGCUGGGAGGUCAUUUGGAAUACCAGUCCGUGGAACACAUUCCCAUGCAUUUGUUAGCUCAUUCAUGAGCCCUGAUGAGAUCAUGGAGAAAUCACUUCAAACUCGUGAUGGUUCAAGUACUUGUGAGGAUUUUGUUAGUCUGGUGCAGACA